AUAUGAAUAGGCUUCUUGAGCCUUGUGAAGAGUGAAUCCCAGGUGGGGUAAUUCUCACCACUGAGGAGAAAGAAUUUUUUGAAGAGGGCUGCAGAUCCGGUUGGAUAUGAAUACAGAUAUCACUCAAAGUCUGAAUGCAAUGAAUUCUAUUUCAAAGCAACAACUUUCAUAUUUCCUUAAAGAGGAAGUAUAUGUGUUUCAGUGACCUCUGACUAUACAGAGACAGAAAAACAAUUUGGAGAAAGAGAUAUUUUGAAGACUAUGUGACAGAAAGAAAGAAGAAAGAAAAAAGGAGGAAGAAAGAGAAAACGUGAAGGAGGAGCAGAAUAUUCUUCUUUUGGAAGGAAAAUACUUCC
rnacentral:lncRNA from 10 species